rnacentral:rRNA from 1 species
CCAACGGGUGGCAGCAGUGGGGAAUUUUGGACAAUGGGCGGAAGCCUGAUCCAGCCAUGCCGCGUGAGUGAAGAAGGCCUUCGGGUUGUAAAGCUCUUUCGGUGGGGAAGAAAUGGCACUUUCUAAUACAGAGUGUUGAUGACGGUACCCGCAUAAGAAGCACCGGCUAACUACGUGCCAGCAGCCGCGGUAAUACGUAGGGUGCGAGCGUUAAUCGGAAUUACUGGGCGUAAAGCGUGCGCAGGCGGUUGUGUAAGUCAGAUGUGAAAUCCCCGGGCUCAACCUGGGAACUGCAUUUGAGACUGCACGGCUAGAGUGUGGCAGAGGGGGGUAGAAUUCCACGUGUAGCAGUGAAAUGCGUAGAGAUGUGGAGGAAUACCGAUGGCGAAGGCAGCCCCCUGGGCCCUUACUGACGCUCAUGCACGAAAGCGUGGGGAGCAAACA